AGGGGUGCUAUCUGUGACUGAGGGCAUGGUCAGCGGAUUGUCUCACACAGAAAUCGCACCCGU
rnacentral:pre_miRNA from 2 species